rnacentral:sRNA from 1 species
GCCCCUGCAGGCUGACCCAGGAUGCAGCCUCUUGCUCCUGGGGUGGUGUCCUCAGGGGUCUGCGAUUCCUGUCACCUCUCCCUCCCCAGCUCCCACCCUUGCCUGCCCCCUGCUCCCACUCCGGGGGCCUUGGUCCUCCCCUGGCCUUUCCCACACCUGGGAGGAGGCCAUCUGGUGUGCUGACUGCUAAGAAAAUGACUCACAGGUCUCUCUGCCCCCAGCCACCCGGAGGAAACUGUUUGAACUUGCCCGAGCCUUCUCAGAGAAGACCAAAAUGAGGAAGUCAAAGAGGAAACACUUGUUGAAGCAUCAGUCGCUGGGGGCUGCCGCGUCAACAGCCAACCUCCUGGAUGAUGUGGAGGGCCACGCGUGUGAUGAAGACUUCCGGGGCAGGCAUCAGGAGGCGCCCAAGGUGGAGGAAGGCCUGCGAGAAGGACAGUAAGAGAUGCCAGCAGCUCUUCCUUGCCAGAGAUGAUCUGACCCGGUGGGGGCAGCUGGAAAGCAACACUGGCCCCCAGCUGAAGGGCCCAGCUGCAGCCGGACAGAUGGUGCUUGAGAACCGAGGCCCAGUGAUCCUCCAGCCACAGUCCAGCCCAACCACUGCCACUUUCCAUGGGACUUAGAACUUCGGAGUUGCUGCCUUGCAAUUGGAGGAAGGACCUGGGGCCCCUAUAGGCAGCAGCCAAUUACAGCCCCUUUUGUAGCCAGGCGUUCCUAUGGUCAAAGAGUGGAAAUGCAGGAACCAACCUCCCUUAAAAAAAAAAAAAAUCCAGAAAGCAGAUAAAAGUUGGAAUAUGGAAAAGGGCAAGAUGACCCCACCAGAGGCUCUUUGGCCUGAAAGUGGAGUCCCUCCCU